rnacentral:rRNA from 1 species
UACGAAGGGGGCUAGCGUUGCUCGGAAUCACUGGGCGUAAAGGGCGCGUAGGCGGCCUGUUAAGUCGGACGUGAAAUCCCCGGGCUCAACCCGGGAACUGCAUCCGAUACUGGCAGGCUUGAAUUCGGGAGAGGGAUGUGGAAUUCCAGGUGUAGCGGUGAAAUGCGUAGAUAUCUGGAGGAACACCGGUGGCGAAGGCGGGUCUCUGGGCAAUAACUGACGCUGAGGAGCGAAAGCGUGGGGAGCGAACAGG